rnacentral:lncRNA from 1 species
AUGGCAGAAUAAUCUUUUUUAAGCAUGUAAUUCUGUUGCUUUAAUAUCUUAUUUGCAAAAGCAUUGAAGCAUGAGUUUGUAGUGGUGAUAAUGGAUCCGUGACUUUUCAUGUCCAUAAUACAAGAUGCUAUAAGACCACAGGAAUAGAGAAAUCCUUCUUACAUAAUUUUGGAGCCUUCUACUGACCUGGUCUUUCUUCCAGUUUUCAGAAGCCACUGUCAUCCUGCUAUAGUAGCAAAUGGUGAAGAGGUUACGCUGGUGACAAACUCCAUAGUCUCACAGGUUCUAUUAAGUUUAACAAGACAUUUACUUUUCCCUAACUGUGUGUAAGCCAGCUAUUGUGACAUUAGUGAACUCCUCUAAGAGUGGAGAAUGACUAAAUCAACAUUUUAUAUUCUGUUAAGAAAAAUGUGAAAAAGGCAAACAAUCUGCUGCUGAAAUUGUAAGAGCUUGUUGUGUGGCUUAUAUUGAAACAAUAUUUGUUCUGAGUAUGUAAAAUGAUGCUGCAGAUGUUUGACAUCCACUAACCCACAUGGCUCCACUCAACUUCUCCUCCCUUAGGUGAGAUACCUGUCAGACAUUGGGGAACAUCAAUGAUCUGCUCACCUGCUCUCACUUUGCAUGUGCUGCGGAGGAAGAGAAACUGAAAGAGAUACUUUGAAGACACAUCACAGUGUGUACAGUCAAUUUACAGUGUGUCUGCAUGUGAUUUUACGUGAAGAGCUAACAGAAAGAACACUUGAAAAUUGUGAAUCUAGUAAAUAAUUCUAGCAACUGCCUUCUGUGAACUCCUUCUCAUGUGAAUCAUCACACUGAAUCCAAAGAAACUGUUCUUAUAAGGUCAAUUCUUACAAUCACAUGGUUUCACAGUUUGUUGAACA